UACGAAGGGGGCUAGCGUUGCUCGGAAUCACUGGGCGUAAAGCGCACGUAGGCGGCUUACUAAGUCAGGGGUGAAAUCCUGGAGCUCAACUCCAGAACUGCCUUUGAUACUGGUGAGCUUGAGUCCGGAAGAGGAGAGUGGAAUUCCUGGUGUAGCGGUGAAAUGCGCAGAUAUCAGGAGGAACACCCGUGGCGAAGGCGGCUCUCUGGGACGGAACGGACGCUGAGACGCGAAAGCGUGGGAGCAAACAGG
rnacentral:rRNA from 1 species